rnacentral:rRNA from 1 species
AUCGAACGCUGGCGGCAAGCCUAACACAUGCAAGUCGAACGAGGGGCGGACGGGUGAGAAAUGUCUGGGAAACUGCCUGAUGGAGGGGGUAAACUACUGGAAACGGUAGCUAAUACCGCAUACCAUCGGAUGUGCCCAGAGGGGAUUAGCUAGUAGGUGGGGUAAAGGCUCACCUAGGCGACGAUCCCGAGCUGGUCUGAGAGGAUGACCAGCCACACUGGAACUGAGACACUGUCCAGACUCCUACGGGAGGAAGCAGUGGGGAAUAGUGGACAAUGGGCGCAAGGCUGAUGCAGCCAUGCAGCGUGUAUGAAGAAGGCCUGUGGGUUGUAAAGUACUUUCAGCGGGGAGGCGUUACCCGCAGAAGAAGCACCGGCUAACUCCGUGCCAGCAGCCGCGGUAAUAC